GCUGGAAGUUAGUGUGGCUUUUUCCAUGCCGAAGUUCCAGCAACCUGCUGGCAAGAUUGCUGUGAGCCAUGGUCCGAGUCUCAGGGAGGUGUCCUAUUCUGUAUCAUUCUCCCAGUCCUUCAGGAUGCUGUCUAGAAGGAUUCAUGCCAUGCCUGGCCAGCCCUUCUCUGCUGUGAUUGCUGUGCUCCCAGCUUACCCAGAGACACUGGUGGAAAAACGAGUGGCACAGCCUCUAUGCAGAGCAUGGCUUUUGAGGAACUGCAAAUAAUCCCAGAUAGUAUUGGAGAUCUGUAUCUUAUCCUUCAGCUCCCGAGGGGGUGUUAAAUCUCAGCCUAAAUUUACUCUUUUGCUCCUGAAAGAAUUUGUAAUCAUUGCUGUCUUGGAAAGGGAGGAGGAGGAUGGGGGGAGUCCAUUUGCAAACACUUGUGAAGAUGGAAACAACAUGGAUUUAUAUUCUAAUGGGGGAAAUUUGGCUGUGGGAUGUCUGAAUGAAUACAAUCUGAUGAGUUUCAUUAAGGCUACACCUCAUUCUUUUAAUUAACUUCUUGUUCUUGUCCUUGGUGAAGUAGUAAUUAUUUUUUAAUUAGCCCAACACUGCAUUGCCGAGCUAGCCAACCCUAGCCUCAUCUCACUGAGAGGUGUCAUAAGAAUUAAGUUAAUUAGCU
rnacentral:lncRNA from 1 species